UCUAAGAGGGAGUCAUCUUAGCAACUAGUGCAAGUGACAUCCAAAAAUUUUUCUUUACACAUUAGCUUAUGCAUUUGCACCAUUUAUAUAUGUGAGUACUAAUGUUAUUUUAUAAUUGAUCGAUUAGUGUCCAAGACAAGAAGGAGGGUUCGAAUGUGGCUACUUUGUUAUGAGAUUCAUUAAAGAGAUAAUUUUUUAUCCUACAAUUAUUGCUUCAAAGUUUUGUGAUAAAAAAAACAUAUUCUCAAGUAGAAUUAUAUUUCCAUUUAUUCAUCAGAAGAAGCGCCCUUCGAUGAAAUUAGAGGAGAAUGGGCUACUUUUGUGCUACAACUAAUCAUGAAUCAUGUUAAUGCAUCAUGAUCACCAUGCAUGGUAUACACUCUUGGGAUGGUGAAAUGGAGAAUAAAAAGAAAGAAGAAGGCAACAAGAUUUUGGGUUUUUAAAUGCAACUCUUAUGUUAUACGUUGUAGGACAUAAACGUUACUUUAAUUGCAACUGAGAAAUUUAGAUUUUUAGAUGGGACUUUUAUGUCA